UACAGAGGUCCCGAGCGUUGUUCGGAUUCAUUGGGCGUAAAGGGUGCGUAGGCGGUCCACUAAGUUUGAUGUGAAAUCCCGGGGCUCAACCCUGGAAUUGCCUUUAAAACUGCAUCGCUAGAAUUGUGGAGAGGUGAGUGGAAUUCCGAGUGUAGAGGUGGAAUUCGUAGAUAUUCGGAAGAACACCAGUGGCGAAGGCGGCUCACUGGACUGGUAUUGACGCUGAGGUGCGAAAGCGUGGGGAGCAAACAGG
rnacentral:rRNA from 1 species